rnacentral:rRNA from 1 species
GCUCCUUGAUUCAGCGGCGGACGGGUGAGUAAUGCCUAGGAAUCUGCCUGGUAGUGGGGGACAACGUUUCGAAAGGAACGCUAAUACCGCAUACGUCCUACGGGAGAAAGCAGGGGACCUUCGGGCCUUGCGCUAUCAGAUGAGCCUAGGUCGGAUUAGCUAGUUGGUGGGGUAAUGGCUCACCAAGGCGACGAUCCGUAACUGGUCUGAGAGGAUGAUCAGUCACACUGGAACUGAGACACGGUCCAGACUCCUACGGGAGGCAGCAGUGGGGAAUAUUGGACAAUGGGCGAAAGCCUGAUCCAGCCAUGCCGCGUGUGUGAAGAAGGUCUUCGGAUUGUAAAGCACUUUAAGUUGGGAGGAAGGGCAGUAAGUUAAUACCUUGCUGUUUUGACGUUACCGACAGAAUAAGCACCGGCUAACUCUGUGCCAGCAGCCGCGGUAAUACAGAGGGUGCAAGCGUUAAUCGGAAUUACUGGGCGUAAAGCGCGCGUAGGUGGUUUGUUAAGUUGGAUGUGAAAGCCCCGGGCUCAACCUGGGAACUGCAUCCAAAACUGGCAAGCUAGAGUACGGUAGAGGGUGGUGGAAUUUCCUGUGUAGC